AGUGUGUAAUUUCUACGGCACUAGCCUAACUAAACAAAAUUGGAUUCAUUAACAAGUUUUAUAGUUUAAUUUGAUGUGCAAAAUCCACAAAUUAUUUUAUUUAUUUACUUCCAUGCAAAGCAGAUGCAGAUUGGGAUGAACUCAUCACCAGGGUUGAGGUAAUGGGUGAAUCACAGAUAAUGCAGAAGUACAAUGGAAAUAACCAGGAAUAUACAUCGAGUAAAACAAGGAGAUUAAAGAAAGCCAUUAGGAGAACACUGAGGAGAGCAACAAGGAAUUCCACAAGGCAAGUGUAAACCCGUAAGUAGGUCCGUAAUAUAGACAAGAUUCGACCUUGAGUAAGUGAGAGUGCUGGGUUUUUUUUAUACAGUCCCUGAUGGUGGAUCAUGGUGGAGCUGGAGGAUCAACAGACCUAGGAGGAGCUGGGAAAGGUGGAGAACAAGGCAAAGCUGGAGGGAUGAGGAAACAGGGUGCGAUGCUGAACCAAAGGACCAAGGUUGUGCCAAAGGACCCGAGGUGGAGUUGGUCAGAAGACUGAGGCAGAGCCAAUGGGAGCCAAAGGGGUGGAGGGACCAGGUGCGGCCCAAGGCCUGAAAGUCCGCGGUGGAGCCAGGAUGAUGACAGACCAAGGCGGAGCUAGGGGGACAAAAGAGCCCAGUGGAGCCAGAGGGAUGACGGACCACGGUGGAGCAUAGUAUCGACGAGCUAUGGUGGAGCCAAUCGUGAAGCCGUGGAGUGGUUCCCUUCCAUCUCAGAAAUAAGAAAAUUAAACCACCCAGGCAGAAAACUUUGUUGAUGUAUUGGGCUAACGUGGUGCUGUCUCUUCUCGGUGAUAGAAAAAAGGUACAUAGAAUCAUCCACUUCCUUCCGAAAACAUGUUUUAAGCAUGAUGGCAGAGGUGCAAAGCUCAGUUCCUGGAGGGCCACAACCCUGCAGAGUGCUCCAACACACAUACCUGUACUUUUCAAAUAAAUCAAUUCAAUGUUUAUUCAACUCAGUUCAAUAACAGUGUCAAUGUUGCAAAUUAAUCAAUUAUUAAACAAAGUCAAAUCCUAUAAUGUAAUAUUACUGUAUAUUAAGUGUCCUUUAAACCCCAACUAAACAAGCCAAAGGUCACAUUGGCAAGGAACCCAUUAGG